UACGUAGGGACCGAGCGUUGUCCGGAAUCAUUGGGCGUAAAGAGCUCGUAGGCGGUGUGUCGCGUCGGCCGUGAAAACCUGCAGCUUAACUGUGGGCUUGCGGUCGAUACGGGCAUCACUGGAGUUCGGCAGGGGAGACUGGAAUUCCUGGUGUAGCGGUGAAAUGCGCAGAUAUCAGGAGGAACACCGAUGGCGAAGGCAGGUCUCUGGGCGAUUUAACUGACGCUG
rnacentral:rRNA from 1 species